CAAGUCAGUUUCUUUUGAAAUGCAGACCUGCCCCCGAGGAAGGCUGGAGGAUUAAGGCAAAUCCCUUUCUCUCUCUGGAACUCACCUUCCUGCUCUAUGAAAUGGGACAAUUCAAGAAGCCUUCCCCAACAAGAAUCUGAAUACAGACAAGAAAGAGUAAGUGAUGUGCUCAAAGUUACUCUGCUAGUCCACGGCACAGGGCAGACAGAAGGGCGGAAUGGUGACCGACCUGUGACCGCAGUGUGACAUCCAGGGAACAAGGAAAGAAGACCCAGCAUCCCCAACUUCACCUCCACAGCUCACAGUCCCGCCCCAGAUUCCAUCAGUACAAGAACAGACCAGCAGACAAAGCAGGGAGGAGUCA